rnacentral:rRNA from 1 species
GAUGAACGCUGGCGGCGUGCCUAAUACAUGCAAGUCGAGCGAACGGACGAGAAGCUUGCUUCUCUGAUGUUAGCGGCGGACGGGUGAGUAACACGUGGAUAACCUACCUAUAAGACUGGGAUAACUUCGGGAAGCCGUAGCUAAUACCGGAUAAUAUUUUGAACCGCAUGGUUCAAAAGUGAAAGACGGUCUUGCUGUCACUUAUAGAUGGAUCCGCGCUGCAUUAGCUAGUUGGUAAGGUAACGGCUUACCAAGGCAACGAUGCAUAGCCGACCUGAGAGGGUGAUCGGCCACACUGGAACUGAGACACGGUCCAGACUCCUACGGGAGGCAGCAGUAGGGAAUCUUCCGCAAAGGGCGAAAGCCUGACGGAGCAACGCCGCGUGAGUGAUGAAGGUCUUCGGAUCGUAAAACUCUGUUAUUAGGGAAGAACAUAUGUGUAAGUAACUGUGCACAUCUUGACGGUACCUAAUCAGAAAGCCACGGCUAACUACGUG